rnacentral:rRNA from 1 species
GACGAACGCUGGCGGCGUGCUUAACACAUGCAAGUCGAACGGACGAGUGAGAUAAGUUUACUUAACUCACAAGUUAGUGGCGGACGGGUGAGUAACACGUGGAUAAUCUACCUGCAACACCGGGAUAACGCUGUGAAAACGGUGCUAAUACCGGAUACGUUCCCUUGUGCGCAUGUAUGAGGGAAGAAAGCUCAGGCGGUUGCAGAUGAGUCCGCGGCUGAUUAGCUAGUUGGUGAGGUAAAGGCUCACCAAGGCGAUGAUCAGUAGCCGGCCUGAGAGGGUGAACGGCCACACUGGGACUGAGACACGGCCCAGACUCCUACGGGAGGCAGCAGUGGGGAAUCUUCCGCAAUGGGCGCAAGCCUGACGGAGCAACGCCGCGUGGGUGAAGAAGGCCUCGGUUGUAAGCCUGUCUUAUGGAGAAGUCAGUGACGGUACCACUAGGAGGAAGCCACGGCUAACUACGUGCCAGCAGCCGCGGUAACGAGU